rnacentral:rRNA from 1 species
UACGGAGGGGACUAGCGUUGUUCGGAAUUACUGGGCGUAAAGCGCACGUAGGCGGAUUUGUAAGUCAGGGGUGAAAUCCCGGGGCUCAACCUCGGAACUGCCUUUGAUACUGCAAAUCUCGAGUCCGGAAGAGGUGAGUGGAAUUCCUAGUGUAGAGGUGAAAUUCGUAGAUAUUAGGAAGAACACCGAUGGCGAAGGCAGCCAUCUGGACCGACACUGACGCUGAGGCGCGAAAGCGUGGGGAGCAAACAGG